CCUAUAAAUUUCUUUAGCUGCCCUCAUCAACUCAAGAAUUCUUCCCUUUUCACAGUUGUUACUCCUCAUUGUGUCUCUCAUUAUUCAUCCAUUCUUCCCAACACAUAUGCUUAUAUCAAGGUGGGACACUUGAAUGCUUCUGAGCUACCACAUUUGUGCACACUUGAUCUCGUAGUCAUGACUUCAUGGCCGGAAUUUAAGGAUUUCGACAAUGUUUCGCUGUCUGAAAUCCACCAAUCUCUCUUGUACGGAUUUGAACUUGUCUUCUGCCCCAAGUGCAAAACAACCCGGACCGGUUUCAUUGAAUCCAUCUUCUCCGGUAUGUACAUCGUUCUUGUGAUAAUUGUAGGUGCGCCCUUAAUUUAUCCAUCAUUAAAUAUUCAGCUUUCUUUUUCAAGCUGUUUUAUGUGCAGUGGUAAGCCCUCCUGUGUUCACCAUCUUUGGUUUCGCGGCUGUAUCAAUGCUUUUAUAUUAUAUACCAGCU